GACGAACGCUGGCGGCGUGCCUAAUACAUGCAAGUCGAGCGAAGUUUUUCUGGUGCUUGCACCGGAAAAACUUAGCGGCGAACGGGUGAGUAACACGUAAAGAACCUGCCUCAUAGACUGGGACAACUAUUGGAAACGAUAGCUAAUACCGGAUAAUAGCAUUAACUGCAUGGUUGAUGUUUAAAAGUUGGUUUUGCUAACACUAUGAGAUGGUUUUGCGGUGCAUUAGCUAGUUGGUGGGGUAAAGGCCUACCAAGGCGACGAUGCAUAGCCGACCUGAGAGGGUGAUCGGCCACACUGGGACUGAGACACGGCCCAGACUCCUACGGGAGGCAGCAGUAGGGAAUCUUCCGCAAUGGGCGAAAGCCUGACGGAGCAACGCCGCGUGAGUGAAGAAGGAUUUCGGUUCGUAAAGCUCUGUUGUUAGGGAAGAAUGAUUGUGUAGUAACUAUACACAGUAGAGACGGUACCUAACCAGAAAGCCACGGCUAACUACGUG
rnacentral:rRNA from 1 species